GAUACUUCCCAAUAGCAUGCAGAAGAAUGUGUUGUGUCUACUAAGCAAAGGCAGGUGAGUUUCCCCUUCAUUGUAGCCUCAUUUAUACUAAGUCUAAAGUCCGCCUAAAAAAGACAACAACUAAAUGAAAUUUACGUCUUAUAUAACACUCAAUAGCUCUUCAAUGAUUUUGGUCAACUAAUAGCUAUAACAUUUAGUUUUCCAACACACAGACACGUGUGUUCACAAGUGUGUACACGCACGUAGAGAUAGAGACUUCACUUCAAUAGAUUAAUAUCAAAGUCGAGAAAUGAACAUUGUAGAAAAAAUGAGAAACAACGCAAAUCUUUGAGUUGUUCAUUUGCGAAAUAGCAACAGAAAAAAAUCAUCUUACUUAUCGUGCGACAUAUGUACUCAUGGUCUCUGGAGAGUUCUAAGAUAGAUUUUCGAGGUAUUUUAAUUUCAUCUUUAUACUGGGAAGUGAACCAGCAAUCUAAGUUGCUCGGACUCAAGUGCGGGUGUCCAAUUUGGAUGCGGAUCUAGAGGUCGGAGCCUUCAUGAUCUAAUUUUUAAGAUUUGGAGAUAUGGAUCCAUGUAUGGGCAUAGGUGCGGAGAUUCGCCUAAAAAAUAAUAAAAAUAUCUUAAAAUAGAGUUAUUAAACCUAAAUUAUCAGAUAUUAUGUGGAGAACUUGAGGAGAAUCCUAGAAGGAGAUUAAAGGAAAAGGAGUGACAUGGAUAUUUCUAUAUAAAAGGUAUUUCAUUUUCUUCAAUUUCACCAUAGCUUUUGUAUUGACUAGGGGUGUACAAAACCGAACCGAGAACCGAACCAAACCGCAAAUCGAAUCAACCCGGAAAAAAAACCCGACUAGUGGUUUGGUUUGACUUGGUUUGGUUUUGAAAAAUAAAACCCGACUAUAUUUGGGUUGGUUUGGUUUUAACUAAAAAAAACCAACCCGAGACCAAACCAACCCGAAUUUAUAUAUAUAAUUUUAAAAUUUUAUUUUAUACAUAAAAAUAUUUACUUUGAUAUAAUUUUUAAAUAUUUCUUAUACUUUUCCAUAGUUUUUAAUAUUUAAUAUAUUAUUUCAAGUUUGAAACUUAGAAUUAUGAAUGGGCCAAUAAAGAUUAUAGUCCACAUAUGUUGGUAAUUAUAAUAAAGCUUAAAUCAAAAUCAAAUUAAUACUAAUGCAAAAAGAAAAUCAAUUCAACACUAAGAAUGACAAUAAUAUUGAAUAUUUGCUCUUUAGUUUUAGGGAUAAGGGUCUGAAAAAUACUCCAACUUUGGUCGGAUUUGUUGUUGCGAUACUAAACUUUCAUAAGGACCUAUUACCUCCCUAGACUAUUUAAUACCGUAUCCAAUAAAGAUUAUAGUCCACAGAUGUUGGUAAUUAUAAUAAAGCUUAAAUCUAAAUCAAAUUAAUACUAAUGCAAAAAGAAAAUCAAUUCAACACUAAGAAUGACAAUAAUAUUGAAUAUUUGUUCUUUAGUUUUACAUUGGUUUAGACAAUUAAAAUACAUAAUCUAAUUUUAAUUUCCUUUAAACUUAAUUUUAGCAUGAUUUAGUACUUUUAAAUUAUGAUCAUUUUCAUUAUGACUUGUUAAUUUGCAAUAUUUGUUUUACGCGAUUUCAUUAUUAUUAUUUUUGUUGGAUAUUUUAGUGUCAUUAAUCAUAUUAUAUUGUGUUAUAUUUUUAAGAAACAUCUUAAAUAGUUGUAUUUUGGUAGGACUAAGGAAAUAUUUGAAGUACAAGUUAAUUAUAUGCUGUGUAUGAAUACUUUACCGGAAAAACCCGAAACAACCCGAAAAACCGAAAAACCCGAGGUUGAAAAACCCGAGUUUUAUUGGUUUGGUUUGGUUUAUAAAUUUAAAAAUCCGACCUAAAUGGUUUGGUUUGAUAUUUGAAAAACCCGAACCAACCCGGCCAUGUACACCCCUAGUAUUGACUAUAGAAAUCAUUAAAACUGUCCAAACUUUUCCCAUCGGUUUUGGUCAAAGUACCCAAAAUCAAUUGACCAAAUCGGACACAGAUCCCACACCCACACCCAUGUUGUGUCGACACGGGUGUGGCACCAAAAGUGAAGAGUCUGAGCAACUUAGCCAGCAAUUGCAAAAGGCAUUUCAGGCAAUAAAAGAAUUGAAAUAAAGCGUGAAUAGCCUCAAGGGUUGAGAAACAAUGAAGUUCCAUUUUCCAAAUAAUAUGUUGUAUUAACUUGUUAGUGGUUUAAUAACUCUAUUUAAAAAAGAUGUGUUGUAUGUAAAGCUGAGAGAUAAUUGAUCACAGUUAGGCAAAAGAGUCCAGUCAUAAUGUUCAAUAGUGAUAUCGCAAAGCAUUAAAUUUAAAAGGUAACUUGAGUGUGUGUAUAUAUAUAUAUAUAAAAGAAUAAUUUAGAGUGCGAGCUUAUGAAGUGAUUCAUACAACUUUGGCAGGUUUGUUGCUCUGUAUUGAUAUGGUAAUUAUUUGAGAAAAGGUUGAAUAAGAUACUGAUGAUAUGAGGCUACGGAACUACCUUUGGAGCAAUUACGUGUCACCAUAUCCCCAAAACUUAAGUAAUUUGUUGCCAACAGAUUCUUCGAAAGCACAGCCCAAAAAAAAGAAUGCUUAGCUUGCACGCCAUACACUAUUUGAAGCCUAACAUCAUUUUCCAUCAGACGAAUUCUCAGCUCUUCCUUUUGCUUCAGUUCAUUAACAGAGCUCCAUGCUUCUCUGUCAGACACUUCUUCACAUCACAAUACAUACCCACCUAGAGGCUGCCAAUUAAUAUCACAUAGAUGAAGUCCAUAAAAAGAGUAAACAUCUCUAGUAUUUUGUAAUGCAGAGACUCAAAAUUGCAAAAGGAGAAAAGAGUGAGC
rnacentral:lncRNA from 1 species